rnacentral:pre_miRNA from 1 species
AGUGGGACAGCUGGGUCAAAUGGUAGUUCCAUUCCAAGUUUUCCAAGAAAUCUCCAUAUUGCUUUCCAAAGUGGCUGAACCAAUUUCCAGUCCCACCAGUAAU